AGUGAACGCUGGCGGUAGGCCUAACACAUGCAAGUCGAACGGCAGCACAGUAAUCGCUUGCUCUUCCGGGUGGCGAGUGGCGGACGGUUGAGGAAUACAUCGGAAUCUACUUUUUCGUGGGGGAUAACGUAGGGAAACUUACGCUAAUACCGCAUACGACCUACGGGUGAAAGCAGGAGAUCUUCGGACCUUGCGCGAUUGAAUGAGCCGAUGUCGGAUUAGCUAGUUGGCGGGGUAAAGGCCCACCAAGGCGACGAUCCGUAGCUGGUCUGAGAGGAUGAUCAGCCACACUGGAACUGAGACACGGUCCAGACUCCUACGGGAGGCAGCAGUGGGGAAUAUUGGACAAUGGGCGCAAGCCUGAUCCAGCCAUACCGCGUGGGUGAAGAAGGCCUUCGGGUUGUAAAGCCCUUUUGUUGGGAAAGAAAAGCAGCAGGUUAAUACCCCGCUGUUAUGACGGUACCCAAAGAAUAAGCACCGGCUAACUUCGUG
rnacentral:rRNA from 1 species